AUGCCUUAGCAACCUCAUCCAUAUAAAUAGUUAAUAUGACUCAUAUCACGGGGAUCGUUUGUUACAUUCCUGUUUUGCCAGUUAGGUUGGUUCUACAGCUAAAGGCUUGGCAUGGAAAUACAGAAACUCCGGACAACGGGUGUGUACCACACAACAGCUGCAUCUGAGGGCACUUCGGAAUAAGCACAGAUGUCUUUUGGGUGGCAAUGCAGUUCUGAGCCUCAUGAAGCGCUGAUAAAGCAUUUUAAACAUCAUCACGUUACUGGGCGGACACUGCCGGACUUAUUAGUGGCAGCCAAUAUUUACUAAAAUAAUUUUAGUCUCCUCUUUCUUAUUUUCAACUAAAAGUUACUGAAAACAAAGUAUUCCAAUGGAAGUAGACUCUAAAAUGAAAGAAGAUGACGGCAUUGGGAAGUCACAUCACCAUUUCCUACAAGUUUUCUGGAAGACAGAAAGUUUUGCUUUUUAAUAAGUCAGUUCAACACACGUGGCGUAUGCACCUGCUGAUUCACCCUCAAAUAUUUAUAGCAGCAAGCAUCAGUUCUUCAGCACUUAAGAAGGCCUCAAAGGUUCCUUCUGGCUGUGACAGUUUCUCAGUCUCUUCUGAUUUUUGAUGACCUGGACAGUUUUAAGGAGUACUGUGGUGGCUGGGAUAUACAGAAGGUGCUGAAACUCGAAACCUUGACCUGAAAUGAGGAAAGAGGAAGAUGUCUGGAACAGAUGAGAGCUGUCAUCUUCUCAAGCGUUAUAUAACAACUGUUACGUUUAUUCAGAUGCAAUACGCACCAUGUGGGAGUCUUCACUCUUUCAUUUCCUAACCCUUAUCUAUAUAAGCACACUCAUGGAAGAGUCAUACAAGGUUGGAGACGUUGGUCUAUGGCAGGUAGUUAUUUUGGUAGGUGUGCUGCCAUCCGUAAAGGAGAGAAGAACUGGGGACAGAAAAAUAAGAACCAAGCCCCUAGAGUUAUUGCUGGGGAGGCUUCCUGGAAGGCUAGCAGAAUUCUGAUUUGUGAUUCUGAAACUGAGUUUAUUGAACAGGUUAAGUAUGUUCUACUUAGCACCCCAGUGCAGAUAACAAGGUCACAGAUGCUAAAUGCAAUUCCUUGUUUUGUGCUCCUCAAAGCCCACUUUUCCCCUUUAAGUGAAAGGGAGUUACAGAGAGGAAACACUAAACCAAACUUCUGCUCUCAAAAAUGAUCUAUAGUUACAAGUUCGUACCAAAGAAAUUCUAUGUCAAAUGAUUUAAAAACCAGA